GACGAACGCUGGCGGCGUGCUUAACACAUGCAAGUCGAACGGAAAGGCCCUGCUUUUGUGGGGUGCUCGAGUGGCGAACGGGUGAGUAACACGUGAGUAACCUGCCCUUGACUUUGGGAUAACUUCAGGAAACUGGGGCUAAUACCGGAUAGGAGCUCCUGCUGCAUGGUGGGGGUUGGAAAGUUUCGGCGGUUGGGGAUGGACUCGCGGCUUAUCAGCUUGUUGGUGGGGUAGUGGCUUACCAAGGCUUUGACGGGUAGCCGGCCUGAGAGGGUGACCGGCCACAUUGGGACUGAGAUACGGCCCAGACUCCUACGGGAGUCAGCAGUGGGGAAUAUUGCACAAUGGGCGGAAGCCGGAUGCAGCAACGCCGCGUGCGGGAUGACGGCCUUCGGGUUGUAAACCGCUUUCGCCUGUGACGAAGCGUGAGUGACGGUAAUGGGUAAAGAAGCACCGGCUAACUACGU
rnacentral:rRNA from 1 species